rnacentral:rRNA from 1 species
UACGUAGGGUCCGAGCGUUGUCCGGAAUUAUUGGGCGUAAAGGGCUCGUAGGCGGUCUGUUGCGUCGGGAGUGAAAACUUACAGCUUAACUGUGAGCGUGCUUCCGAUACGGGCAGACUUGAGGUAUUCAGGGGAGAACGGAAUUCCUGGUGUAGCGGUGAAAUGCGCAGAUAUCAGGAGGAACACCGGUGGCGAAGGCGGAUCUCUGGGCCAUUACUGACGCUGAGGAGCGAAAGCGUGGGGAGCGAACAGG